CUUCAAAACACGCGUUGCAUCAACAUGAUCGAAUGUCACAGGUGGCAACUUAUGCAGACUUUUAGCAACAAAUAUAGGAUAUUUAAUUAUACACCUUAAUUGCAUCAACACGUACAUCUGGUAUAAGAGCGUACUACAAAUAUUAUAAUUUCUUAAGAAACCUGUCAAUAUUGUGAAAUUAACAUUAUAACAUUUUAAAAAAUC
rnacentral:misc_RNA from 1 species